AACUGAUACUACCUGCGGGAACCUGCGGAGGGAUCAUUAUCGUACAACGAGAGGUGUGCCGGGGCUGUCGCUGACCCUUUUAAAGUCGUGCACGCCUCGAGCACUCUCACCCAUGUCCAUCACACCCUUGUGCAUCACCGCGUGGGCUCCGUUAAAAAAAAAGGGGCCUGCGUUUUUCUUACAUGGACGCCAGUCGUAGGAUGUUCAUUAUGUGAUUAGUACAUGAUCAAUACAACUUUC
rnacentral:misc_RNA from 1 species